GGUAUCUUCCCCUUCCUUUCCCUAUAAAACACAGCCCUCCCUCAUUCCCAAUCUUCACACUGUCUCAUCUUCGUUUUCCCUUCUCUUUGUAAAUUCCCCUUGGCUCUCAAGAGCCCCAAAGUUUGUAAUUUUCUCCUUGUCUUUCGAUGCAAGAGCUCCAAAAGCUCGAAUUUUUGGAUCUGAUUUUGUUAGAUUUUAUAUGGGUGUUAAAGUUCUCAGUCCCCAGAAUUGCCUCAAAGACUCUGUCUCACCUCAAGUACUGAUGAAUUACAAUCGAAGCCCUAACCCUAAUCGGGUCAGAACCUCCCCACAAGCCGACCGGACUAAGCGAAGGCCGACCAGGCCCAACAACCACCCACCCCCUCCGGUCCAGAAACCCGCUGCCCCCAAGAAUGUCGUGAUGGGCCAGGUCAAAAUACUAAAACGCGGCGAGGAAAUCCCCAAAGCGGCCCCGAUUCAGCCACUACCGAAGCAGAAUCUCCAUCCCCAAGUUCCGGAUCUCGGAUCCACCAGCCGGAUGGGUCCUGACCCGAAGAUGGUACCGAUUCCUCCGAAGCAGACCAAGUUCCCGGAGCCGAACUGGGCUUCCGGGUUCUACGCCGGGUCGUCGUCGUGCAUAGCUGCGCCUCCCCCGAGUUCCCUACCUCUGCCGUCGUUCUUCGCAAAGAAGAGCGCCCCUUCAAGCACCGAUGAAGCUGCAAGCGUGCUGCUUAAACUUCUGCGGCUCAAUUUGUCGUAGAUGGGUCGCCGGUCCAUGGCGGACCAAGCAUGUGCAGCAGUGUAGAGACAGCGUUUGGCUAAUGUUUGUGUUGUGUGAUUAUCGCCCUUCCCCUUAUUUUUUCGUGGGAAGAUAGAUGGAUGAGGUCACAAUUCGACCUAACGCUUUUUCUUCUUUUUAGAUUAAUUUAUGGGUUAGGGAUUUUAAUUAUGUGCAGCAGUAGUUGGUAACUUGGGUUGGCUCAAAUUUUUAGCAUUUUGUUUUCAAUUAAAUUAGGGUUGGGUUGCUUUUAUUUUUGUGUCGGUACUAUUUAAGGUUGAGAGGUAUAGUAUUUUAGGAGCUGUUUCUGUUAAAUAAGGGUAUAUUUUGUGUACAUGUAUCCACAAGUUUUUACGAUAUAGUUGCAAGCAAUUUGUUAAGUAUAAUUUGGUUUUUAAUUGCAUUGGUGUUUUGUCUACUCUUUUGCACUCUUAAUUUCCUUUAUCUCGUUGUGAUUAACUUGGGGUUUGGAGAUGGCUGUGUUGUGUAUGUAAUGAGGUGUUUGAUGGAAAUUUGUGGGGAAUCGACUUCUGGAAAGUUCAGUUGCUGAGAGAUUAUGAUGAACGUGGGUUCUAACUUGGAACUUCUUGGUGAAGGUAGUAAAUCAAAUGUUUACCUCAGAAUUUCACUGGACUCUGUUUGGUUUUGUUGAACUUGUAUAGUUAUUUUAUGGAGACUUUGUGGUUUGGGUUGGGUUGGGUUGGAGUUAUCAAAAGCAAAAGGACAAAAGCAGUUCUGUUGAUCAAAAGAUUUGAUGGGAAAUUAUUUCCAAUGUCUUUUCCAAGAGAUGAGAUAUGGAUGAUUGGAUGAUUCUUUUUUUAUGUUUGGUAAUAUUGGGAAGGUGAAAAAUUAUUUAAUUU
rnacentral:lncRNA from 1 species